CCCCACAGGACCGUAGGCACUGGGGCGGGAGGAAGGUUGUCACGUGGCGCCGGAGCUCACGUGACUCGGAGUACACAUGACUCCCAGUCCCCGAGCGCCUCCAGAAGAGGAAGGACGCGGGGGAGCAGAGAUGAUCCGAGCCUCGCCGCCGCCGCUGUACCUGCUGCUGCUGCUCGUGUCUUGGGCGCCCCUAGGCAAGGCAGCCCCCGACCAGGACGAGAUCCAGUGCCUACCCGGGCUGUCCAAACAGCCAUCUUUCCGCCAGUUCUCCGGCUACCUCAAAGGCUCUGGCUCCAAGCACCUCCACUACUGGUUUGUGGAGUCCCAGAAGGAUCCCGAGAACAGCCCUGUGGUGCUUUGGCUCAAUGGGGGUCCCGGCUGCAGCUCCCUAGAUGGGCUCCUCACAGAGCAUGGCCCCUUCCUGAUCCAGCCAGAUGGUGUCACCCUGGAGUACAACCCCUAUUCUUGGAACCUGAUUGCCAAUGUGUUAUACCUGGAGUCCCCAGCUGGGGUGGGCUUCUCCUACUCUGAUGACAAACUUUAUGUGACCAAUGACACUGAGGUCGCCCAGAGCAAUUUUGAGGCCCUUCAAGAUUUCUUCCGCCUCUUUCCGGAGUACAAGAACAACAAACUUUUCCUGACCGGAGAGAGCUAUGCUGGCAUCUACAUCCCCACCCUGGCCGUGCUGGUCAUGCAGGACCCCAGCAUGAACCUUCAGGGGCUGGCUGUGGGCAAUGGACUCUCCUCCUAUGAGCAGAAUGACAACUCCCUGGUCUACUUUGCCUAUUACCACGGCCUUCUGGGGAACAGGCUCUGGUCUUCUCUCCAGACCCACUGCUGCUCUCAAAACAAGUGUAACUUCUAUGACAACAAAGACCCGGAAUGCGUGACCAAUCUUCAGGAAGUGUCCCGCAUCGUGGGCAACUCCGGCCUCAACAUCUACAACCUCUAUGCCCCGUGUGCUGGAGGGGUGCCCAGCCAUUUUAGGUAUGAGAAGGACACUGUUGUGGUCCAGGAUUUGGGCAACAUCUUCACUCUCCUGCCAAUCAAGCGGACGUGGCAUCAGGCACUGCUUCGUUCGGGGAAUAAAGUGCGCAUGGACCCCCCCUGCACCAACACCACAGCUGCGUCCACCUACCUCAACAACCCGUAUGUGCGGAAGGCCCUCCACAUCCCGGAGCAGCUGCCCCAGUGGGACAUGUGCAACUUCCUGGUAAACCUACAGUACCGCCGUCUCUACCGAAGCAUGAACUCCCAGUAUCUGAAGCUGCUUAGCUCACAGAAAUACCAGAUCCUGUUAUAUAAUGGAGAUGUAGACAUGGCCUGCAAUUUCAUGGGGGAUGAGUGGUUUGUGGAUUCCCUCAACCAGAAGAGGGCAAGUGGAGGAGUUCCCAACCCCAAGGUCUUGCUGGCAGCUGUGAGCAAGGAUGCAGCUGCCGUAGGCUGAUUUCUUUCCUGGUGGGGCAGAUGGAGGUGCAGCGCCGGCCCUGGUUAGUGAAGUACGGGGACAGCGGGGAGCAGAUUGCCGGCUUCGUGAAGGAGUUCUCCCACAUUGCCUUUCUCACUAUCAAGGGCGCCGGACACAUGGUCCCAACCGACAAGCCCCUUGCUGCCUUCACCAUGUUCUCCCGAUUCCUGAACAAGCAGCCAUACUGAUGACCACAGCGACCAGCUUCCCCACGGCCUGCCACAGCUCCUCCUAGCCUCUCCUAGCCUCUCCUGCUGGGAGUCCUCUUGUAAGCACAGUACCCCUGCAGGGCAGGUUCUGCCUCUGGGACUCCCGUAGACAGCCUGGGGGCAGGUUGGCACUUCAUUCCCACAGUAGUUCCUGAAUGGGGUGGCCUGGCCCCCUCUCUGCUUCAAGAAUACCCUUUAUGAUGCACUGAUCCCAUUCCACGAACCCAACAGAGCUCAGGACAGCCCACAGGGAGGUGGUGGAUGGACUAUAAUUGAUGGAUUCACUGAUUAUGUGAUUAAAUUGGGUACAGUUUCAAA